GAUGAACGCUGGCGGCGUGCCUAAUACAUGCAAGUCGAGCGAACGGACGAGAAGCUUGCUUCUCUGAUGUUAGCGGCGGACGGGUGAGUAACACGUGGAUAACCUACCUAUAAGACUGGGAUAACUUCGGGAAACCGGAGCUAAUACCGGAUAAUAUUUUGAACCGCAUGGUUCAAAAGUAAAAGACGGUCUUGCUGUCACUUAUAGAUGGAUCCGCGCUGCAUUAGCUAGUUGGUAAGGUAACGGCUUACCAAGGCAACGAUGCAUAGCCGACCUGAGAGGGUGAUCGGCCACACUGGAACUGAGACACGGUCCAGACUCCUACGGGAGGCAGCAGUAGGGAAUCUUCCGCAAUGGGCGAAAGCCUGACGGAGCAACGCCGCGUGAGUGAUGAAGGUCUUCGGAUCGUAAAACUCUGUUAUUAGGGAAGAAUAUAUGUGUAAGUAACUGUGCACAUCUUGACGGUACCUAAUCAGAAAGCCACGGCUAACUACGUGCCAGCAGCCGCGGUAAUACGUAGGUGGCAAGCGUUAUCCGGAAUUAUUGGGCGUAAAGCGCGCGUAGGCGGUUUUUUAAGUCUGAUGUGAAAGCCCACGGCUCAACCGUGGAGGGUCAUUGGAAACUGGAAAACUUGAGUGCAGAAGAGGAAAGUGGAAUUUCAUGUGUAGCGGUGAAAUGCGCAGAGAUAUGGAGGAACACCAGUGGCGAAGGCGACUUUCUGGUCUGUAACUGACGCUGAUGUGCGAAAGCGUGGGGAUCAAACAGGAUUAGAUACCCUGGUAGUCCACGCCGUAAACGAUGAGUGCUAAGUGUUAGGGGGUUUCCGCCCCUUAGUGCUGCAGCUAACGCAUUAAGCACUCCGCCUGGGGAGUACGACCGCAAGGUUGAAACUCAAAGGAAUUGACGGGGACCCGCACAAGCGGUGGAGCAUGUGGUUUAAUUCGAAGCAACGCGAAGAACCUUACCAAAUCUUGACAUCCUUUGACAACUCUAGAGAUAGAGCCUUCCCCUUCGGGGGACAAAGUGACAGGUGGUGCAUGGUUGUCGUCAGCUCGUGUCGUGAGAUGUUGGGUUAAGUCCCGCAACGAGCGCAACCCUUAAGCUUAGUUGCCAUCAUUAAGUUGGGCACUCUAAGUUGACUGCCGGUGACAAACCGGAGGAAGGUGGGGAUGACGUCAAAUCAUCAUGCCCCUUAUGAUUUGGGCUACACACGUGCUACAAUGGACAAUACAAAGGGCAGCGAAACCGCGAGGUCAAGCAAAUCCCAUAAAGUUGUUCUCAGUUCGGAUUGUAGUCUGCAACUCGACUACAUGAAGCUGGAAUCGCUAGUAAUCGUAGAUCAGCAUGCUACGGUGAAUACGUUCCCGGGUCU
rnacentral:rRNA from 1 species